UUGGGUUAAGUCCCGCAACGAGCGCAACCCCUAUCUUAUGUUGCCAGCACUUUGGGUGGGAACUCAUGAGAGACUGCCGCAGACAAUGCGGAGGAAGGCGGGGAUGACGUCAAAUCAUCAUGCCCCUUAUGACCUGGGCUACACACGUACUACAAUGGGAGUUAAUAGACGGAAGCGAGAUCGCGAGAUGGAGCAAACCCGAGAAACACUCUCUCAGUUCGGAUCGUAGGCUGCAACUCGCCUACGUGAAGUCGGAAUCGCUAGUAAUCGCAGGUCAGCAUACUGCGGUGAAUACGUUCCCGGGCCUUGUACACACCGCCCGUCACACCACGAAAGUCGGAAGUGCCCAAAGCCGGUGGGGUAACCUUCGGGAGCCAGCCGUCUAAGGUA
rnacentral:rRNA from 1 species